GCCGUUGAAAUAUAUAGGUCGAUGCCUGACUGUUAAUCAAUUGGUCGUAGGUUCGAUCCCUACCGCCGGAGCCA
rnacentral:tRNA from 1 species